rnacentral:rRNA from 1 species
GUAAACGAUGGGUACUAGGUGUAGGAGGUAUCGACCCCUUCUGUGCCGGAGUUAACGCAAUAAGUAUCCCGCCUGGGGAGUACGGCCGCAAGGCUGAAACUCAAAGGAAUUGACGGGGGCCCGCACAAGCGGUGGAGUAUGUGGUUUAAUUCGACGCAACGCGAAGAACCUUACCAAGCCUUGACAUUGAUUGAACGAGGCAGAGAUGCCUUUUUCCUCUUCGGAGGACAAGAAAACAGGUGGUGCACGGCUGUCGUCAGCUCGUGUCGUGAGAUGUUGGGUUAAGUCCCGCAACGAGCGCAACCCCUAUCUUCUGUUACCAGCACGUAAGGGUGGGGACUCAGGAGAGACUGCCGCAGACAAUGCGGAGGAAGGCGGGGAUGACGUCAAGUCAUCAUGCCCCUUAUGGCUUGGGCUACACACGUACUACAAUGGCUCUCAAUAGAGGGACGCGAAGGAGCGAUCCGGAGCAAACCCCAAAAACAGAGUCCCAGUUCGGAU